CUGGACAAAUAAAAGUUUCCUGCUUGGGUCACAAUUACUCAAAUAUGAGCCUUUUCAAUGCUUUCUUUUUUAUGUACUAUUUAUUUGAUCAACAACCUAUGUGAAGUACUUUACGGAGCAACCAUGCUGUAGUGCCUUAUAUACAAUUAAUCACCUUCUAUUCAUAGAUGACAGACAAUAUUCCAGAGCAGGUGGUACGAGCUUCAUGUAUGUUGCUGAUUCAUAAGAGACAGACUUGGGUGCAGGUGACGUAGUCCUUGGAAUGCUUCCUUUAGAAUAGAAAUUUCUAGGCCAUGGAGUUAAUAUAUAAAUUGAAAUUAAGACAAGAAGAAUGCAUUUAGUUAGGUUUACUCUACAUUGUACUUUGAUUUAAAAAGAAACAUGUUUUGUUGUUUCAUGAGAUUGAAUCAUGGGCUGUGACCAAGCAAUAUAUUGCAUGCUCAUAGUGUGUUUUAUUUACAUUUGUGUUCUCCUACAUGGAAAAUAUAGACUUAAUGCCAGAUUGGAAAUUACAUUUUAUUUGUGUCACCCAGAAGGUCCAGAAUUGAUAGAAAUAUGACCUUUAUUUGUCCAUGAGCAAUCUUUUCAAAUAACCAUUUAAUGAUUACCUCUUUCUAUUGCUACUCAGAUGCUUAGCAUAAGCCAAUAAAAAAAUACUAGGUAGUUCUGGUUAUAAAUUAAUUGUCGGUUUAUAAUCAUAUUACGGGUACUCGGAUGCUUAGCAUAAGCCAAUAAAAUAAUAUUAGGUAGUCAUUAUUAUAAAUUAAUUGUCGGCUUAUAAUCAUAUUACGGGUACUCAGAUGCUUAGCAUAAGCCAAUAAAAUAAUACUAGGUAGUUCUGGUUAUAAAUUAAUUGUCGGCUUAUAAUCAUAUUACGGGUACUCGGAUGCUUAGCAUAAGCCAAUAAAAUAAUAUUAGGUAGUACUGAUUAUAAAUUAAUUGUCGGCUUAUAAUCAUAUUACGGGUACUCAGAUGCUUAUCAUAAGCCAAUAAACAUUGUGAAAUAACCAUUCAAUGAUUCAUUUUUCUAUAUCAGGAAAUUACAUUUUAUUUGUGUCACCUAGAAGGUUCUGAACUGAUAGAAAUGUGAUCUUUAUUUGUCCAUGAGCAAUCUUGUCAAAUAACCAUUUAAUGAUUACCUCUUUCUACUCCUACUACGCACAUACACCACCGCCAACCAUCCUCCCGAAACAGUCGCUCGGCUAAUAUGGUGUUUCCAUGCUGAUCGCACUUUUGUUCUUGCUAUUAUGAUAGCUAAGUAUGAAACUCGGGGUUUAGAAGCUUGAGAAAUUGUAUCUGGACAUGGCCUUGCAAAAAGAAGUUAGGUGCAUUCUCUAUAAAGGGCAACCUGGUGCAUGUAGCUCCCGCUUGCGCAGGGUCCAGGGAAGGGUCCGACCACUUUGGGUCUAUAGUACGCAGCCUUUCCCUACAUUUCUGUAAGAGGCUGUUUCCAGGACUUGAACCCAUGACCUCAUGGUCACAAGGCAGCAGCUUUACCACUGCGCCAAGGCUCCCCUUCAGGUGCAUUCUCUAUGAGAAACUGAAAAUAUAUAUUUUCUUAAAUUAGGUCAGGUCUAUAUACUAUCUUUGGUAACUGAAAUUGUUAUGCUUAUAUUGAAAAUAAUUUGAAAUUUACAAGGCAGUGGAGCCAGUUCAUAUUUUGUGAUCAACCAAAGUGCAAGCAACCUAAAUUAGUAAUCUUCGAAUAAACUGGCUUAUAAAUUUUUGAUGGUUUUGUCAAUAGUACAGUAGCACUGGAUAUUCUGCUAUUUCUUAUAUUUAGAAUUUGCGCUGACCUGAUUACUACUGUGCCAUGCAG
rnacentral:lncRNA from 1 species